AUGAACGCUGGCGGCGUGCCUAAUACAUGCAAGUCGAGCGAGCGGACGAGAAGCUUGCUUCUCUGAUGUUAGCGGCGGACGGGUGAGUAACACGUGGAUAACCUACCUAUAAGACUGGGAUAACUUCGGGAAACCGGAGCUAAUACCGGAUAAUAUUUUGAACCGCAUGGUUCAAAAGUGAAAGACGGUCUUGCUGUCACUUAUAGAUGGAUCCGCGCUGCAUUAGCUAGUUGGUAAGGUAACGGCUUACCAAGGCAACGAUGCAUAGCCGACCUGAGAGGGUGAUCGGCCACACUGGAACUGAGACACGGUCCAGACUCCUACGGGAGGCAGCGGUAGGGAAUCUUCCGCAAUGGGCGAAAGCCUGACGGAGCAACGCCGCGUGAGUGAUGAAGGUCUUCGGAUCGUAAAACUCUGUUAUUAGGGAAGAACAUAUGUGUAAGUAACUGUGCACAUCUUGACGGUACCUAAUCAGAAAGCCACGGCUAACUACGUG
rnacentral:rRNA from 1 species